CCUGCACGCAAACAUAAAUAAGACGUUCUUCAGUCCCCUCCUGGAAACUAAAAUAUAAAGAAGGUGAGCUCAAAAAAUAAAGUUGACCAGUCAACCAUCCACAAAAGUACCCAACUAUAGCAGAAUGCUGGAUGCCAGUUUGCACGAGUUAGCGGAACAAGGGCUAAAUUAGGUUAGGUUACAGGUUAUUGAUUAAUUUGGGGUGUGGGAUGUUUUUUUGCCAAACCCUCUAACUUGUGGCAUGGCUUUUGAAAAUUUUCCGAUUAAAAGGCACAAACUGCAGAAGAUUGAGGAUGUGUGGGCACUAUGCCAAACAGUCGGUCACCUAUCGUUUAGCAAUUUAUUUGAACUAAACAGCCAUUUAAAUGGAUUAAACGGCUGAUUAAACGGAUACAGCUAGCCACUGUGUAGCAUUUACAUGGCGUGUAAACAGGCUAAAUGGUCGUGUAGGCGAACAGUGACUACAGGACAAAUGAAAAAAAAAUUCUUUUCUGAGAGAUCAUAGAAUCAUUGUCAAUAAGAAACAAAUCUUCUCAAAUGCAGGCCGAAGAUAAACUUCAAGCAAGCAUGAUGCCAUGUGGCACAUGCUACCAAUGGUACGUCACCAUGAUUGUAUUGAAAUUCACCAUGUACAAUAUCAUGUCAAAGAGGAGAAAGAUGAGUUAUAUGUACCUCUAGACAGUAGAAAAUCAUUCCCGUAAAAAUUGAUGCCAAGGAAUAUCAUCCGAGAAUGGUUACCAGAAGGCGAAGAACCUUUGGCUGAAAGGAGUGUUGUUAAAGAAUGCUGUACCCACUUGAGAGGUGCACUGGGACCAGGAUUUUGAGGCCCUGAGAAGUCAUAUGUCAUAAGAGAAAAACCAUCUAAUGAGUCAGCCAAUUGCAGGAGAUCUUCUGGUCCAAAGUCCUGAUUACUGAGCUCUUUCAUUCUUGGAGCUGGGAUAACAUAAAUUAGUUCCAAAUGGCGGUUACUUGAUUUAGAGCUGAUUGAAUGCAAAGCCUCCCCCAGCUGCUUAACAAAUUGAAGUGCCUGUAGAAAUAGCUCAAUGUGAUCAUAAGGUAUAACCAUAUAACUACCUGAAAAGGCUAGUUGUAUAAACCUCAUAUGAGGCGGCAUAUGUAACUCCUAGCCAUUCUUAAUUAAGCUGACAAUAGUGGUAAAAAAACUGGUGAUGUUUCAACUUGAA